rnacentral:tRNA from 1 species
AGCCUCGUCGUCCAGCGGUCAAGGAUACAAGCCUCUGGAGCUUGGGACAUCGGUUCGAAGUGGGCGAAGCACGCUUUAGGCGAACGCUUCGUUCGAGGUAAAUCCGAUCGAGGCUA